AGUGAACGCUGGCGGUAGGCCUAACACAUGCAAGUCGAACGGCAGCACAGUAAGAUCUUGCUCUUACGGGUGGCGAGUGGCGGACGGGUGACGAAUACAUCGGAAUCUACUUUUUCGUGGGUGAUAACGUAGGGAAACUUACGCUAAUACCGCACACUACCUACGGCUGAAAUCAGUGGAUCUUCGUACCUUGCGCGACUGAAUGAGCCGAUGUCGGAUUAGCUAGUUGGCUGGGUAAAGGCCCACCAAGGCGACGAUCCGUAGCUGAUCUGAGAGGAUGAUCAGCCACACUGGAACUGAGACACGGUCCAGACUCCUACGGGAGGCAGCAGUAGGGAAUCUUGGACAAUGGGCGCAAGCCUGAUCCAGCCAUACCGCGUGGGUGAAGAAGGUCUUCGGGUUGUAAAGCCCUUUUAUUGGGAAAGAAAAGCAGCAGGAUAAUACCCGGCUGUUCUGACGGUACCCAAUGAAUAAGCACCGGCUAACUUCGUG
rnacentral:rRNA from 1 species